UUUUUUUUUUGGAAGCAUAUACACAUUGCAGAAUUUAUUGAUUGUGCGUCAAUAACAUUAGAAGACACUAUAGAACUCGAUAAUUAUUCUACUAACGUUAACUUCCUA